rnacentral:rRNA from 1 species
UACGUAGGAGGCGAGCGUUGUCCGGAUUCAUUGGGCGUAAAGAGCUCGUAGGCGGCUGUUCAAGUCGAACGUGAAAACUCGGAGCUCAACUCCGAGCCUGCGUUCGAUACUGGACGGCUAGAGUCUGGUAGGGGGAUCUGGAAUUCCUGGUGUAGCGGUGGAAUGCGCAGAUAUCAGGAGGAACACCCGGUGGCGAAGGCGGGUCUCUGGGCAACAUCAUCGAGCGCUGAGGAGCGAAAGCGUGGGGAGCGAACAGG